rnacentral:tRNA from 2 species
GGCGGGGUGGCAGAGUGGUUGAUUGCACCGGAUUGAGGAUCCGGUAGGCGCUGCCUUCGAUUUAGAAGCAGCAAGAGCGUCUCGCGGGUUCGAAUCCCGUCCCCGCCG